rnacentral:rRNA from 1 species
AUUGAACGCUGGCGGCAGGCUUAACACAUGCAAGUCGAGCGGGGGAGGUUGCUUCGGUAACUGACCUAGCGGCGGACGGGUGAGUAAUGCUUAGGAAUCUGCCUAUUAGUGGGGGACAACAUUCCGAAAGGGAUGCUAAUACCGCAUACGCCCUACGGGGGAAAGCAGGGGAUCUUCGGACCUUGCGCUAAUAGAUGAGCCUAAGUCGGAUUAGCUAGUUGGUGGGGUAAAGGCCUAUCAAGGCGACGAUCUGUAGCGGGUCUGAGAGGAUGAUCCGCCACACUGGGACUGAGACACGGCCCAGACUCCUACGGGAGGCAGCAGUGGGGAAUAUUGGACAAUGGGCGGAAGCCUGAUCCAGCCAUGCCGCGUGUGUGAAGAAGGCCUUUUGGUUGUAAAGCACUUUAAGCGAGGAGGAGGCUCUUAAGGUUAAUACCCUUGAUGAGUGGACGUUACUCGCAGAAUAAGCACCGGCUAACUCUGUGCCAGCAGCCGCGGUAAGAC